AUGAGUGGGAUUCAAAAGUUAUUUUCAAUUCUUUGCUACAUGUGUACAGUGGAAUCCUUAACGACAACUUCAAAUAAAACUCAAGUUUGCAAAAGGUGAUCAGUUAGCAAUAGGAAAGGAAACAUGGCACGAUUUGGGAAUGGGUACCAACAAAACGUAUCCUUCAUCUUCUUUACUAAGAAAUAACAAAGACAAGUCAAUUGCUGUAUUGCCCGUUGAUGAGCUGAUUGGAAAGACAUUAUCAACACAUAUGUCGAUGAGCUCGGAUGUUUAGGAACAUUUACAUGUACUAGAGAGGGGAAAACCUCAUGAAAGAAACCAAAUUAUUAGUACAAUAACUGGAUCUAUAGUACAACUGAGCCAGCAUGAAUUUACUUCAAAUGUUGUUGAAAAAUGUCUACAGCAUGGUGAUUCAACUGCAAGGGAGAUGCUGAUAAAGAAUAUUAUUGGGCAUGGUGAUAAAAACGAUAAUUUAUUGGUAUGUCUAUCUAAAGCUUGGUGUUAACCAUUUGUUGAAUUCAUGUGGUUCCUAUUGCUAAGUGGAAAAUGCAUUGGUAGAUCAGGUAAUACUGAUUUGGUGUUGUCAGUUAAUAAUGCAAGCGUUAGAAUUAGCGUGAAUGUUGUUAUUUCUGAUGUUAGUCUUCAGCAUUUUGUCAUAUUCUAUUGUGGUUUACCUAUACUUGUCCUUUAUUUGGUGCAUGAGCACAUGUAUGCAUCAGGUCACAUUAAUCUGCUUUAUCAUAUUAUCAAUUAAAAUAUGUGUUACAUAUUGAAGAUAUUCAUUAUUUUGUAUUUGAAGAUUAAAAGCUUAUGUGAGAAACCUAAAGAGGUAAUAAUGAAGGAAAGUAUACAAAUUUCUAUUAUCUUUCUACUACUAUUUUUGUUGAACAUUAAAACUUGUGUAUUGGCCUAAAACACAAUAUAAACCCUACUCAAGUGUUUAAUAUUUCAUGCUAUAGCCUAGCUACUACAAUUAAUAUUUAGAAGAUAUGAAUUGUUGAAGAUUUAAAUAUAUUUUUGUUCUUUUAAAAAGUAUGUUAGGUUUACCUAGAAAGCCUUUUGCUUUUGUUUCGAAAGUGAUAAGGAGCUCUAAUUAUGUAUUUGAAGACAAGGUUAGGUAGUAAAUUCUAAACUCAUG